rnacentral:rRNA from 1 species
GACGAACGCUGGCGGCGUGCUUUACACAUGCAAGUCGAACGGAAACGCCCUGCCUUUUGCGGGUGCUCGGGUGGCGAACGGGUAAGUCACCCGAACGUACCCUGCCCUUGACGUUGGGGUAACGUAAGGAAACUUGGGCUAAUACCGGAUAUGAGCUCCUGAUGCAGGGUGGGGGUGGGAAAGUGUAGGCGGGUGGGGAUGGACCGGCGGCUGAUCAGGUUGUUGGUGGGGUAGUGGCUUACCAAGGCUUUGACGGGUAGCCGGCCUGAGAGGGUGAACGGCCACAUUGGGACUGAGAUACGGCCCAGACUCCUACGGGAGGCAGCAGUGGGGAAUAGUGCACAAUGGGCGGAAGCCUGAUGCAGCAACGCCGCGUGCGGGAUGACGGCCUUCGGGUUGUAAACCGCUUUCGCCUGUGACGAAGCGUGAGUGACGGUAAUGGGUAAAGAAGCACCGGCUAACUACGUG